GGUUGUGUUAAUAACGCCACGUUCUGACCUGGCUUCCACUGCUGACAACAAAUUUACCUGUAAAACAUACACAAUUAUGAAGGUAGUACUAGUAUUUGGACUAUUUUUGGGAACAGUAUUUUGCUGUUCUGAUGAUCAGUAUACGUGCUUGGACGGAGAAUGCAUCCCUUCAAGUUAUCAGUGUGAUUCCUGGGUUGAUUGCAGUAGCGGAGAAGACGAUAUGGGAUGUUCUAUUUGUGAAAGUGAUAAAUUUCUUUGCGCUAUUGAUUCCAAAUGUAUUAUCUGGUCUUGGGUAUGCGAUGGGAUGGAUGAUUGUGGUGAUGGCUCGGACGAACGGGGGUGCUUCAAUCUUUGUUGGAAUAUUUAUAACCCACUUGCAAGACGGAGUAUAGCAAAAUCGAGUGCUCACAAAGCUGUAUCCAGGGGUCUCGACAAAGGAGGUAAAAAUGAAGCUGUUGGUUCGAAUUUGUACAAAAAGAAAAACGAAGUUGAAGCAGAGAAAAUUGUUAAUAAACUUGAAAAGCUCAGGUUACUCAGAAAAGGAAAACAUGGAAAAUAGAAUUGAACAUGUACGGAAGAAAAUGCUCGCAAACAAUUGGAAUCGACCAUGGACUAUGAUAUAAUUAAAUAUGUAUAAACAAUCAUUAACAGUAGUAUGCAAUGUUAUAUUAUCAUGUAUGUAUAUUUUGUAAAAACGAAAUGUAACAUUAAUGUAAUUUAAAGUUUUAAUUGAUUUAAUAUCUUCAAAAAAUUUUAACAAUAAUUGGUCAAUACCUAUAUUCGUAUUUUACACUUUCAUUAUUCAUUCUAUUUUAUCAAUAAAAUACUUCUUGCAAUUGA